rnacentral:rRNA from 1 species
UACGUAGGGGGCAAGCGUUGUCCGGAAUCAUUGGGCGUAAAGCGCGUGUAGGCGGCUCGGUAAGUCUGCUGUGAAAGUCCAGGGCUCAACCCUGGAAGGCCGGUGGAAACUGUCGAGCUAGAGUCCGGAAGAGGCGAGUGGAAUUCCUGGUGUAGCGGUGAAAUGCGCAGAUAUCAGGAGGAACACCGAUGGCGAAGGCAGCUCGCUGGGAAGGUACUGACGCUGAGACGCGAAAGCGUGGGGAGCAAACAGG